rnacentral:rRNA from 1 species
AGCGGCGGACGGGUGAGUAACACGUGGGUAACCUGCCUGUAAGACUGGGAUAACUCCGGGAAACCGGGGCUAAUACCGGAUGCUUGUUUGAACCGCAUGGUUCAAACAUAAAAGGUGGCUUCGGCUACCACUUACAGAUGGACCCGCGGCGCAUUAGCUAGUUGGUGAGGUAAUGGCUCACCAAGGCAACGAUGCGUAGCCGACCUGAGAGGGUGAUCGGCCACACUGGGACUGAGACACGGCCCAGACUCCUACGGGAGGCAGCAGUAGGGAAUCUUCCGCAAUGGACGAAAGUCUGACGGAGCAACGCCGCGUGAGUGAUGAAGGUUUUCGGAUCGUAAAGCUCUGUUGUUAGGGAAGAACAAGUGCCGUUCAAAUAGGGCGGCACCUUGACGGUACCUAACCAGAAAGCCACGGCUAACUACGUGCCAGCAGCCGCGGUAAUACGUAGGUGGCAAGCGUUGUCCGGAAUUAUUGGGCGUAAAGGGCUCGCAGGCGGUUUCUUAAGUCUGAUGUGAAAGCCCCCGGCUCAACCGGGGAGGGUCAUUGGAAACUGGGGAACUUGAGUGCAGAAGAGGAGAGUGGAAUUCCACGUGUAGCGGUGAAAUGCGUAGAGAUGUGGAGGAACACCAGUGGCGAAGGCGACUCUCUGGUCUGUAACUGACGCUGAGGAGCGAAAGCGUGGGGAGCGAACAGGAUUAGAUACCCUGGUAGUCCACGCCGUAAACGAUGAGUGCUAAGUGUUAGGGGGUUUCCGCCCCUUAGUGCUGCAGCUAACGCAUUAAGCACUCCGCCUGGGGAGUACGGUCGCAAGACUGAAACUCAAAGGAAUUGACGGGGGCCCGCACAAGCGGUGGAGCAUGUGGUUUAAUUCGAAGCAACGCGAAGAACCUUACCAGGUCUUGACAUCCUCUGACACCCUAGAGAUAGGGCUUCCCCUUCGGGGGCAGAGUGACAGGUGGUGCAUGGUUGUCGUCAGCUCGUGUCGUGAGAUGUUGGGUUAGUCCCGCAACGAGCGCAACCCUUGAUCUUAUUGCCAGCAUUCAUUGGGCACUCUAAGGUGACUGCCGGUGACAACCGGAGGAAGGGGGGGGAGAAGUCCAACAUCAGCCCCUAUGACCGGGGUACAC